rnacentral:rRNA from 1 species
UACAGAGGUCUCAAGCGUUGUUCGGAUUCAUUGGGCGUAAAGGGCGCGUAGGCUGCGGGGCAAGUCGGGUGUGAAAUCUCAGAGCUCAACUCUGAAACUGCACUCGAUACUGCUUUGCUUGAGGACUGGAGAGGAGAUUGGAAUUCACGGUGUAGCAGUGAAAUGCGUAGAUAUCGUGAGGAAGACCAGUGGCGAAGGCGGAUCUCUGGACAGUUCCUGACGCUGAGGCGCGAAGGCCAGGGGAGGCAAACGGG